CGCCUCCCCCGCCACCGCCAGGCUUAGUCCAGUCCAAUCCCCACGUGCGGCCCAAGUUCUUUCGCUCUUGAAGUGUAAGAGAGCAACUUCAUCUUCAACCUUCUGUUCUGUUCUGUUCCGCUACAAACAACACGAAGAGUCACUGAGGAGAGAAGAGAGGAGGGUGAGGGGUUUUUGCAAUUGAGGGGGGGGGGUGUGUGUGUGUGUGUGUGUGUUGUCAUCCUGGUCCUAGAUAGAUAUAGAAACCCUAGUUUUCAUUUUUCUUGUUUUAUUUCCCUCCUCUCGGGCCUUUUGCUUUUUUUGGCUGAUUAUUAUAUUACUUAUAAUCCUUGCAAAAAUGGAUUGAUUCUUCUCCACUUCUCUUCUAUGUGUAUACGCUCUUUUUCACAGACGUAUGUAUAUAUGUAUGUUUGCAGUGAAAGAGUUUUGUCAUUUCUUCUGUAGUCGGCAUCGAAAAUCUUGCAACUUUAUUGAUGGAAGGAAAGCUAACAAGUAACAACUAUUCAUUGUUGUCGUGCCAUUUCAACAGGCUUAAUGCUAAAGCCUAUGCGAUGUGAUGUGAUUGCUUCGAGUGUGGAAUAAGUGCCCUGCCAAUUCAAAUGAAGUAUUUUCCCUUUAAAAGCAGUUGAUAUGUUUACAAAGUUCCCAAGUCAAGUCAUUCUCUUGUUUGCUGCAAUUUUUUGGUGUAAUGUAAGCACAUCUAGAUUGAUAUGGGAUAUGAUGUUUGGGAAGUAAAAGGUCUGAGCAGGAUCAUUGGUUUCAGCAUGCCGUUAUGUCAGAGGACUAAAACUCGAAGAGGGCCCUCGUCGUUGUUUAAGUUAUUGCAAUUGUGACAUUCGCAACCUCUUCUACAAUGAUCUGGCUAUCGGUUAAAGCACGUCUUUAGCUCUAUGGCUGUGGGUUGAAAAUGAAAAGGCGUGGGUUGCAUUCUAGUAUUGAAUGCUAGCCUAGACUUCUCCCUACAUUGCACCCUUCUGACACUGGUGCUGUGCCUCCUGCUUUGAUCAGAACCUUGACAUACAUACUGAUCCCUUUUUUGACUUGAGUCGAAGAAUCCUCAACAGCGAAUCUUAUUAUUUGCUUACAUUUUAUUCUCUGGUGUUUGAUAUUGAGUCGCUGUUCUCGUUAUGAUUUUUUACUUCACUUGGUGUUCACUCUGUGAUGGAUGCAUCGUCCAAAAUAGUUUUUGCGUUCUUCCAUGAAAAAUGUAGGAAAUCCACAUCUCCUCUUUUCCGAGCCACGCUUGAUAGGCAUUACUGGAAUAGAAACAACCUACGCUCAAAUACUCCAGGUAUGAAGCACAGAGCUGGUGAGUAUGUACUCUUGCUGCACAUGAAGGAUAUUUUCCGAGAAGAAAUAUGAUAAUCUGGCAAAAAUCUUACUUACACAUUGUGAAAAUUGAUAUGCUAUUAGUGCCCUAAUGUUCGCCUAUGUCUCAAGCUUUUUGAAAUGCUCCAGUCUGGGUAAACAAGAACCUGCUACUGAUUUUCUUUUCCUUUUCCAUUACAAAAUGCACAUACUCUCACAUGCAUAAUCUCUUUGAAGGAGGUUGAGGGUUCAGGACAAGGCUUGAAACCCAACAUGCACCAUCCCAGCAUCGCCAUAAGCAAAGUUCAACAUCCCUCACGUUCAACCUGUUUAACUUGCAACUAGUUAGUAUCAGUUAUUUUUUCCAAGAUAUUAAUUUAAUGUCGAAGACAAACCUUUGAUAAAAGUACUUGGCGGA